rnacentral:pre_miRNA from 1 species
AGGAUAACUGGGUCACAUGGUGGUUCCACUCUGUUUUCUGAGGAAUCUCCAUAUUGCUUUCCAGAGUAGUUGUACCAAUUUGCAGUUCCACCAGCAAU